GACGAACGCUGGCGGCGUGCUUAACACAUGCAAGUCGAACGAUGAACCCGGAGCUUGCUCCGGCGGAUUAGUGGCGAACGGGUGAGUAACACGUGAGUAACCUGCCCUUGACUCUGGGAUAACUGCUAGAAAUGGUAGCUAAUACCGGAUACGACCCUCGGUGGCAUCACCAGGGGGUGGAAAGAAUUUCGGUCAAGGAUGGACUCGCGGCCUAUCAGCUAGUUGGUGAGGUAACGGCUCACCAAGGCGACGACGGGUAGCCGGCCUGAGAGGGUGACCGGCCACACUGGGACUGAGACACGGCCCAGACUCCUACGGGAGGCAGCAGUGGGGAAUAUUGCACAAUGGGCGCAAGCCUGAUGCAGCAACGCCGCGUGAGGGAUGACGGCCUUCGGGUUGUAAACCUCUUUUAGUAGGGAAGAAGCGAAAGCGACGGUACCUGCAGAAAAAGCACCGGCUAACUACGUGCCAGCCGCCGCAGUAA
rnacentral:rRNA from 1 species